CUACGGGAGGCAGCAGGAGGGAAUUUUCCGCAAUGGGCGAAAGCCUGACGGAGCAAUACCGCGCUGAGGGAUGACGGCCUGUGGGUGUGUAAACUCUUCUUCUCAACGGAAGAAG
rnacentral:rRNA from 1 species